rnacentral:misc_RNA from 1 species
CCGAGUACCGGGUCUUUUAGGCCCUUACUCCCACCCUUUGUGUACCUAUUAUACUGUUCGUUGCUUCGGCGAGGUUGAUCUCUAGGCUUCGCGGCCGUGGAGAGACUCGCCGAAGGGACACUUCUAAACUACUGUCAACUUUGCUGUCUGAGAACAAAUAAAUAAGUCA